AUUCCAUGGUGAGGACAAUCUGAAAUGUAUCCUUGAAAACGCUCCCAUGCUUCGGAAAUGGUUUAUGUCUUCUGCUGUUGGAAACUGACAUUCGUCCAGUUGUUGAUGUU
rfam:Sorghum bicolor cultivar BTx623 chromosome 5, whole genome shotgun sequence.